rnacentral:misc_RNA from 1 species
GCCCCAUAUAGAGUAAAUUGUUUAUUGGCUGUUGUUAUUAAAUAUUUGAUUCUCAAUCAUGUGAUUUAUUCCAUUCUUCUUUUGAUUCAUGGUCUAACCCCUGACGGUGUGACCUUUGAGUAUUCUGCAAUUGGGUAUGAUACCUCUUUAGUAUUUAUCGAACACCCUUUCCCACAACCGUGCUUGGAUGACAUUUGAGCAAGAAAUCUUUCAACAUAUAUAUGAACAUAGUAUAAAUUAGAAUUCUGUGAAUGCUGAUUUCAAACUCCAUUCAGGUAAACAUAAUCUCAUUAAUCCACAUUUUUAUUAUUUGCCCCCUUGACAUGGCAUAAUUAAGGCUUGAGGCUUAUUUAUUUUGAUUAUGAAGAUGUCUCUGUGUUUAUGCAAUGUCAGCUAUAUUUU